GCUACGGGAGGCAGCAGUGGGGGAUAUUGCACAAUGGGGGGAACCCUGAUGCAGCGACGCCGCGUGGGCGAUGGAGUGCUUCGGCAUGUAAAGCCCUAUUAGUAGGGAAGAAAAUGACGGUACCUGACGAAGAAGCCCCGGCUAAAUACGGGCCAGCAGCCGCGGUAUUACGUAGGGGGCAAGCGUUAUCCGGAUUUACUGGGUGUAAAGGGAGCGUAGGCGGCCUGGCAAGCCUGAUGUGAAAUACCGGGGCUCAACCCCGGGGCUGCAUUGGAAACUGCCAGGCUGGAGUGCCGGAGAGGCAGGCGGAAUUCCUGGUGUAGCGGUGAAAUGCGUAGAUAUUAGGAAGAACACCAGUGGCGAAGGCAGCCUGCUGGACGGUGACUGACGCUGAGGCUCGAAAGCGUGGGGAGCAAACAGGAUUAGAUACCCUUGUAGUC
rnacentral:rRNA from 1 species